UUUUCCAGCCUUGUCAGCACCUGUCACACGCACACUCAGCUUUGCGGAAAUUAUGGGUAUUCUGUCGAAGACUUCUGGGGAAGUAGAAAACACAUGAAUCUUACUGUCCAAUCACCCACUUCCCACACGCAGCAAUAGCUCAUGGGUACCACAGAUAACUUUGCCAAAGUUCUCUGCCAAAGUUGAGCACGUGAAGCUUGCAGCUCCCACACUACAUCGCUCUGACCAAGAAGGGUAAAAGAAUAGCAAAGAAACAGCACUAACAAAGUUUAGACCCAUAAAUUUUGAAGGUCUAGCUACCAUAUUAUUACCCACAAGGGUAAAGGAACAGUACCACUGUUGGAUAAUUGGAAAGUCCCUGUGUGUCAACCUCUGUGCCUCGUGGCAAGGUAGACUAGCAAACAUGCCCAACCUUUACUCACAUUCGAGAAAACACUCCCAAUAAGAUUGCUUGCUCCAAAAUCGAAGAGGCACCGUCCUCCGAAUCUCGAGAGCCAGACUCCCAACAUGAAUACUUUCUCAAAAAUCGAAGAGUAAAGGAACAGUACCAUUGCUGGAUAAUUGGAAAGUCCCUGUGUGUCAACCUCUGUGCUUCGUGGCAAGGUAGACUAGCAAACAUGCCCAACCUUUACUCACAUUCGAGAAAACACUCCCAACAAGAUUGCUUGCUCUAAAAUCGAAAGAGGCACCGCCCGCCCUCCGAAUCUCGAGAGCCAGACUCCCAACAUGAUUACUUCUCUCAAAAAUCGAAGAGACACUGCUCCCCGAAUCUCGAGAGCCAGACCCCCAGCAUGAUUGCUUUCUCAAAAAUCGAAGAGGCGCUCGCUUUCUCAAAAGCUGGGCUGCUCAGAGACCACGAGGGCCGAUCUCAGAAAUCAAAGAGGCACCUUCUUUUCUAGCCUUGUCAGCACCUGUCACACGCACACUCAGCUUUGCGGAAAUUAUGGGCAUUCUGUCGAAGACUUCUGGUGAAGUAGAAAGCAUAUGAAUCUUACUGUUCAAUCACCCACUUCCCACACGCAACAAUAGCUCAUGGGUACCACAGAUAACUUUGUCAAAGUCUCUACCAAAGUUGAGCACGUGAAGCUUGCAGCUCCCACUACAUCGCUCUGACCAAGAAAGGUAAAAGAAUAGCAAAGAAACAGCACUAACAAAGUUUAGACACAUAAAUUUUG
rnacentral:lncRNA from 1 species